UUCUAUGUGGUCAUUUACUCCACGCACAGAAUGAAACAAAAAAUGUUGUUCCAAGGCAAAAAUCUGCCCAAUCCAGACGACUUUUUAAAUGAACAUAUGCUCAAAAAAAUAGUCUAUUGGCGUAGUAUUACCAGCAUACAAAUGUAUUCUACCCAAGCAUAUAAAUUACUGACUGGGCUCAGUCAGUUUAUUAAUAAAUUAUGUAACUGGUUAAGUUUGUUUGACUUUUUAGCAGAGAAACAUUUUUUAGAUGGACUUCUAUGAAAAUUGGUUACAUUGCAUGUUAGGAUCCCUUGGUCGUUGACCCAGAGUUUUGAGUUUAUUAUAUUAUUUAUCAUUUCUAGUCUUUGGUUUCUUUGUUAAGUUCUGUCUUAUGGUUUAUGUCUCUGUGUUCUCUAGUUGCUGUCUCCCUGUGUCCAGUCAGAGUCUGUCUGUAGUUCAGCCUGUGUUAUGUUUUCUGUUUUACUUUGGAGGUGCAUGUCUCAUGUCUGGUUGUGCUUCCUUUGUCUCGUUAGGCCUGAGUUGCCCCAGCUGUGUUUCCCUCCUGUUACCCAUUCCCUGAUUGCUCCCUCUGUGUAUUUAAGCCCUGUGUUUCUCUGUGUCCGUGUCGUGAUCCACCCUUAUGCCAUGCUGUGUGUUCUGUCAGGCUUCCUGUCCGUUCCAUAACACUGCAGUCUGUUUCUGGAAGCCAAGUGAGGGGCAGCCAGUCAGAAGCAAGCAGGCACAUAUAUGGGGAGACUGGCCUUAAAGGGAAAGGAGAUAAAGUGGCUUGUUUCAGACAGAAGCUGAAUCGAAGGCCUGCAUGAAGUCCCAAGAUGAGAGACGUAUGGAUUAUUUUGAACACUGACAUGUGCAAAGCUUCUCUAGAAGAGUCCCAGAAUCAAAAUUUAGACCUGAAAAUAAACAUAAUAGGCCCUUUUUAAUGUCAAAUCAGGUAGUGAUUCAUAAGUUAUUAACUUUGUGGGUUUUCUGAGAGGGUUUUAUGGCGGGGAUAAAAACACUUCGCACUUGUUCAUUCGGGAAGGUUCCCCUGCAAAAAAAGUCAUUCUUGAAGCCUUUUUCUCUCUUAAAAGUGAAACAUGAAAUAGCAUUAAAGGCAAACACAAAUCCCAUAGUUGCCUAGUUUCUCUGCCAGUCACAUAAUCAAACAGCUUCUACUGUCUGGUUCUUGCAGCUGACGAACAUUUUGCAGCCCUUCAGACAUUUUUCUUUUUGUCUCUUUUUGAGCUCCUCGUUAUGACACUCAGUGACAGCAGUAAUUCUUGGUUGUUCGACAGAUCAUUUGGUCCCCAGUUUGUUUCACUUCGCUAGCAAAAAUGUUGAGAUGUUUCCGACGUUUUUUGAUGCCAUUGAGGAAUUUAUUUUCACUUUUUUUUCCUCUGGCAGCAAAAUGCAUUACCUCCCCCAGUCAGAAACUACUGAACAUUAACCUGAUCUUCCCAUUAACUUUAAGGGCUGGCUAAAUCUAAACGACACACCAUAAAGAGACUUGAAGAACAUCGUGAGCCUAGCACCAUUAAGGCUACUAAUGACCCAUAAUGCAGUGUCACACUGGUGCUCUCUACAUCCGAAAAAA